GGUUUGAUGUUAGCUAUAAGUCAACGCUACAUAACUGGACAACACAUGCUAGUAAUUAUUUAAUUUUUAAUUUUAAAAAUUACGUGCUGGUGAGUAUAAGUUUUUAUGAACCUAUUUAUAUAGAUCGUUAAAACUAAUACAUACAUAACAAUAAUUAUUGUUAUUAAAUGUAUUUAGCUGAAAAAAUAAACCAAGAAUAGCAGCCACUUGAGUAUACAUAAAAGUAGCAUAACAGCAGUGGAAAACAUUAAAACAAUUAAAUAUUAGUUUGAUUUAGUAAGUUACAUUGGCUUCGUAUUUAUAAUGAAAAUAUGGAGUCAUUAAGUUAUGGCCAAAAUAUGUGCCAGCAGCCGCGGUAAGACAUGAAUAACUAGCGUUAUUUUUCGUAGCUAGGUGUAAAAAAUACUACAUUAGUUAUAUAAUAAAUAUAAUUAUAUAAAAUUAUUAUAAUUUAAAAUAUUAAUGUUGGUAAUUAGGGA
rnacentral:rRNA from 1 species